rnacentral:misc_RNA from 1 species
CUCUGUUUCUGAAAUUAUCUGUUGGAGCCAGUAAAAACAUCAAAUAAACCACAGCAACUUGUCCAGGAGGUUCUCUGUGAUACUUGUGUAGCUGGAGGUACAAGAGGCUGGGGCUGGGUUUCAGUAUACUCAGAAAUCCUUGUAUCUUUGGCAUUAUUGGUAUCAUUACUAGUUUCAGAAGUGCAAGUUCCUGAUGAUGUUGACGUCUUAGCCUCAUUUCCAC